rnacentral:rRNA from 1 species
GACAGAGGUGCCGAGCGUUAGGCGGAAUCACUGGGCUUAAAGCGUGUGUAGGCGGCCCGUUAAGUGUCUUGUGAAAUCCCCCGGCUCAACCCGGGGAACUGCUGGGCAUACUGGCGGGCUUGGGUCGCUCCAGGGGCAGACGGAACAGGCGGUGGAGCGGUGAAAUGCGUAGAUAUCGCCUGGAACGCCGGAAGGUGAAAACAGUCUGCUGGGGG